rnacentral:rRNA from 1 species
GACGAACGCUGGCGGCGUGCCUAAUACAUGCAAGUCGAGCGAAUCAAAGGGAGCUUGCUCCCUGAGGUUAGCGGCGGACGGGUGAGUAACACGUGGGCAACCUGCCUAUAAGACUGGGAUAACUUCGGGAAACCGGAGCUAAUACCGGAUAAUUCUUAUCAACUCAUGUUGGUAAGCUGAAAGAUGGUUUACGCUAUCACUUAUAGAUGGGCCCGCGGCGCAUUAGCUAGUUGGUGAGGUAACGGCUCACCAAGGCGACGAGGCGUAGCCGACCUGAGAGGGUGAUCGGCCCCACGGGGACUGAGACACGGCCCAGACUCCUACGGGAGGCAGCAGUAGGGAAUCUUCCGAAAUGGACGAAAGUCUGACGGAGCAACGCCGCGUGAGUGAUGAAGGUUUUCGGAUCGUAAAACUCUGUUGUUAGAGAAGAACAAGUACUAGAGUAACUGCUAGUACCUUGACGGUACCUAACCAGAAAGCCACGGCUAACUACGUGCCAGCCGCCGCAGUAAGAC